UACAAACCCCAGCCACAUUCCUCCUGGCAGCUGCCAAUGAAAAAUACGGGUUUCAACAGGGUCACUCGUCAUUGGAGGCUGAGGAGCUGCCCCUCAAAGUGAUUUGGUAGCUUUACAUAC
rnacentral:snoRNA from 1 species